CUGGCGGGACUCGGCAUGCUCCAAAUGCUCUAGCAAUAUAAAGGAAGGAAGCUUAACUCAUUCUGGGUUAUAGGCCACAGGGGAAGGACUUGUCUGGGAAGCUCUUGUGGAGGGUCAGCCACAGCCCUGGACUACUCCAGGAAUCAGCCUUCCUGGGCCCGCUUGAACCCCUGCGACUGAAGGAGCUACAGGAAGUGACUGGCAUAACUGACCAUGGAGAAUCCAAAGCCUCAUGGGAGAUCCAAUGCAGAUACUGGUAGGAAAUGACCAAGGGAGGGUGAUGGAGCGGUACCUCCCACCUGGGAAACCUCGGUGUGUUUUGGUAGGACCCCCUGCUGAGUCAGUUGAAAAUUGCUCUGCCACUGUUAGGGCCCUGGGUUGGGGCCUGGUGGAGUUGGAUGGGCCUGGGCCCCCCCCACUGGGCUGCCACACCCCUUGGUGGGUGCCCCACCCCCUAUUGAACUUUGGCUGCUAGGCCAUGCUGCCCUGCAUCUUAAGGGCUGUUCUAUUGACUCUGGGCGCUAGACCAUGCUGCCCUAUAUCUCAAGGGUGGCUCCACUGAACUCUGGCAGCUAGGCCACGUGGCCCUGCACCCAAGGGCUGUUCUAUUGACUCUGGUCGCUGGGCUGUGCUGCCCUGACCCUAGGGGUGUAGAUCAUCAGGGUCAGAAAGAUGGAGAAGAGUCAGCUAAACUGAACCUCCAUUCCCAUUUUUAAAAUGUGAAUAAAUAUGGCCUUGAAAAACUGGAUCUAUCCCUUACUUGUUACAAGGCUUCCGGUCCUGACAGUCCAAUUUCUGACUACAAAUUUUCACUACUUUUGGACUGACUUUUUUUACUACUGAAUUUGAUGUGUACUAUUUACAAUUAAGUGCCAUUCAUAAACAUUCAGACCUAAUGUAACUCACACCAGUGAUAAUUUGGUCUGCUGAACAUACUGUAAGAAUACUGGACUAAAUUCUGCUCUUGGUGUACAUUUAUUGUAGCUUGAAAGUAACUCCCCUUAAAGUUACUCUGAAUUGUCAUUGCAUACAUGACAACAGAAUGUGGCUUACCAACUAAUGCCAUUCAAAAAGUUUUAACAAUAUUUGCCCACUUUUUAUGUGAUCAGAGCAAUUUUUCAGGUUGUGAUCAGUGAGCCAGAGUGUGGAAGUGUAUGGAAACUACCAGCCUUCACUUCAUUAGUAUGAGCAGUCAUAAUCUAAAUUUUUACUAGUAUUCAGUCCUUUGAUCCAAGCACCAAUUUUUCCAUUUAUACUAUUUUCAGAACUCAACUUUUUUUUCUUUUUUCCAGUGAAAUGGCAGUUUUUCCCUCUGUUGAAGCUGCUUUUCAAUGUUAACAACAACAAAACAUCUAAGGCAAAACUACCAAGUGUUUCUUGCCAGAGUGUAACCCGCUGUGCUCUGCAAGCACCAUCAGAGCUCCUUCAAAAGACAAAUCAGCCUGCCAGCUCUGGAAAGGAUGGGCAUGGACCCUGACUUCUGAGGACACUGGUGCCUAGCCUACUAGUGUGUUUGUGCUGGAAUUAAGCAGAAACAUGUAGCUAAAAUAAGAGAAGCAAUAAUCCCAAUCUGGUCAGAAGCAGUACAGGUGAGUCGCAUCAUAUGCGCAUUUAAUUUACGCGAAUUCAACUAUACGCGCUUGGCAAAAAAAAGAAAACAAGAUACCUGUAAAUAGUGCGGGCGAUUCCACCCUCCAUUCCACUCAAUGAGUGUAUGCCCCGGAGUGAGCAUGAGAUGGGAAACGUGAAUCUGCUGUUCCCUCAGUCAGUCUUAGUUCCCGCAUGCCUCGCAUAGUGUGAGCAUCUUGCCGCGCUGAGUGUGAUUCUAGUGUUUAAAGAUACGUAUUUUUCAUACAACAUGCCCCCUAAACGCAAGCCAACUACUUCAUCUGGUGCUCAACUGAAGAAACAGAGAUCUGUUCCAACGCUGGAGGAAAACCUGGCUGUGUUGGACUUAUUGAGAGAUGGUAUGUCGGUCUCCAAUAUGGCGCAACGAAUCUAGCAUCCGUGCCAUCAAGAUUCGAGAGAGAGAAAUUCGUCAAGUGCUCCAAUAACUGCUAAGGUGACGAGCCAGG